rnacentral:rRNA from 1 species
GACGAACGCUGGCGGCGUGCUUAACACAUGCAAGUCGAACGGAAAGGCCCCCUUGUGGGGUACUCGAGUGGCGAACGGGUGAGUAACACGUGAGUAACCUACCCUUGACUUUGGGAUAACUUCAGGAAACUGGGGCUAAUACCGGAUAGGAGCUCCUGCUGCAUGGUGGGGGUUGGAAAGUUUCGGCGGUUGGGGAUGGACUCGCGGCUUAUCAGCUUGUUGGUGGGGUAGUGGCUCACCAAGGCUUUGACGGGUAGCCGGCCUGAGAGGGUGACCGGCCACAUUGGGACUGAGAUACGGCCCAGACUCCUACGGGAGGCAGCAGUGGGGAAUAUUGCACAAUGGGCGGAAGCCUGAUGCAGCAACGCCGCGUGCGGGAUGACGGCCUUCGGGUUGUAAACCGCUUUCGCCUGUGACGAAGCGUGAGUGACGGUAAUGGGUAAAGAAGCAACGGCUAACUACGUG